rnacentral:rRNA from 1 species
CCAAAUAUCUAAACGGAGAAAUUCAAUAUUACCGGUCAGCAAUGGCAGUAAUGUGCACUUUUCUCUUAGUAAGACGCCGUGAUUCAUUAGAAAUUGGUGUACGCCAAGUACACAGUGGGUCAUCAAUAGGCCARCGCGAAGUUUAUUGGAACAAAUGGCACGAUCUUUUACGGUUGUGUGUAUUGUCUGGUAAGCGUGUUGUGUCCUGCAAUGACUGUCUGAUGAGUUUUAAGGACUGCGAUAUCAACGAUGUUACGGCAUUGGCGCUUGCGCAAUUCGAUACGUGUCUGAUCGACGGCGGUUAAAUUUGGGAUACCUUUUGGACCCGUCUUGAAACACGGACCAAGGAGUCUAUCUAGUAUGCGAGUAAAUGGAUAGUUAAUGAAAUCUAUUUGCGUAAUAAACUUGACUGUUCAAUGGGAUUACGGCUUGUGACACUYGCGUGUUCCUUGCCUUCCAUCCCGGGGUAUUUUCAUCCACAUGUGGAGCAAUUCACAUGGAAAAUAUACCAUGAGCACACUGGAUACGACCCGAAAGAUGGUGAACUAUGCCUGAUCAGGUCGAAGUCAGGGGAAACCCUGAUGGAGGACCGAAGCAGUUCUGACGUGCAAAUCGAUUGUCAGAAUUGGGCAUAGGGGCGAAAGACCAAUCGAACCAUC